AGGGCUUUUGCCUCUGAACUGGAAAUUUAUUGAAGCCCUACUUCAGAAACAUGAAUUCAGCAAGACGGAAACUGAAAACAUGCUGUCAGUGGAAUCCUGAUAAAUGCUCUUGAAGAUGUCACAGCAAAGCUUGGUCUUAAUGUGAAACACAUGCGGGUCAGUAACCUUUCAUUCAUCAUCAAGAGGAGGGUCAAGCUACUGCUGGAUCAUUGAUGGUCAAAAGCAAUUAACCCUUUCAUUUACUAUUUCUGACAAGCGCAUUCAACAGCUCUCAGAUCUUCUGCUGGCCUCUUAAAUUUAAACUAUCUCCCUCAAAGGAUAAUUGACAGACAUGUAUUCUCUGGAACACAAACAGUUAUGCAACACUGGGCAAGAGCAGGAGGCAAUUAACAUCCU